rnacentral:rRNA from 1 species
CCUACGGGAGGCUGCAGUGGGGAAUAUUGGGCAAUGGGCGCAAGCCUGACCCAGCAACGCCGCGUGAAGGAAGAAGGCUUUCGAGUUGUAAACUUCUUUUAAGAGGGAAGAGCAGAAGACGGUACCUCUUGAAUAAGCCACGGCUAACUACGUGCCAGCAGCCGCGGUAAUACGUAGGUGGCAAGCGUUGUCCGGAUUUACUGGGGGUAAAGGGCGUGCAGCCGGGAAGACAAGUCAGAUGUGAAAUCCCGCGGCUCAACCGCGGAACUGCAUUUGAAACUGUUUUUCUUGAGUACCGGAGAGGUCAUCGGAAUUCCUUGUGGAGCGGUGAAAUGCGUAGAUAUAAGGAAGAACACCAGUGGCGAAGGCGGAUGACUGGACGGCAACUGACGGUGAGGCGCGAAAGCGUGGGGAGCAAACAGGAUUAGAUACCCUAGUAGUC